GAUGAACGCUGGCGGCGUGCCUAAUACAUGCGAGUCGAGCGAACGGACGAGAAGCUUGCUUUUCUGAUGUUAGCGGCGGACGGGUGAGUAACACGUGGAUAACCUACCUAUAAGACUGGGAUAACUUCGGGAAACCGGAGCUAAUACCGGAUAAUAUUUUGAACCGCAUGGUUCAAAAGUGAAAGACGGUCUUGCUGUCACUUAUAGAUGGAUCCGCGCUGCAUUAGCUAGUUGGUAAGGUAACGGCUUACCAAGGCAACGAUGCAUAGCCGACCUGAGAGGGUGAUCGGCCACACUGGAACUGAGACACGGUCCAGACUCCUACGGGAGGCAACAGUAGGGAAUCUUCCGCAAUGGGCGAAAGCCUGACGGAGCAACGCCGCGUGAGUGAUGAAGGUCUUCGGAUCGUAAAACUCUGUUAUUAGGGAAGAACAUAUGUGUAAGUAACUGUGCACAUCUUGACGGUACCUAAUCAGAAAGCCACGGCUAACUACGUG
rnacentral:rRNA from 1 species